GGGGGCGUACCGGCUUCGACGUAUUAAUGAUAGUCAAGAAUGCAUGUCGAGCUUUUGUUGAAUGCUCGUUAACUAAUCAACUAAAAACAAAUGCAGAAUCUAUGAAAACUGCAGGGGCUACUUUCGUUGCAGCAUUCUUCGGAAUGAUUGCAAUGUUUGCAGCUUCCUUCAGACGCCGUGAAGACGAAUAUUCUUCACUGUCUGUCGCUUAAUAAAAAUCAUAUUCCUUUUGUGCAAUCUUUCUUUAUUUCAUAACACAAAAGUAUAAGAAAUAGAUGAGCUUGCGAUAUUUGUUUCCUAAGUAACAAGCUUGUAUAAAUGGAAACUAAACAUGUAGUGCUUUUGAUUUGAUUUUCUGCGGACAUGGGUUCGAUUCCCAUCGCCUCCACCA
rnacentral:tmRNA from 1 species